GAAACGUACCACAAACUUCAAAAGUAUUCCAUAUACAAAAAGAAAAAGAUGUGAUAUGAUUGCAAAUGAGACAACUAUCCCAAUGAGACCAAAUGAGACAUAAAACAAUUAUAGGUCCAGUACGGGCUUCAACAAUGAGUAAAAUUCAUACUGCAUAGUCUUCAAUUCCCGAAAUAAAUAAUGUAAAACAAACAAAAAAUCUAACGGCCUGAUUAUGUACAAAAUAAAUAAGAAAGAAACAAAUAUAGUAUAUAGAAACAAACGAC
rnacentral:lncRNA from 1 species